CAAAAUUUGACCCAAGAGACAAAAUUUUUCCCUUUUCGUGGUGAUCGCAAAUUUUCGAUCCAAUUUUUAAUCGAUGCUUACAAGUGAACAAAUCCUAUGAAUCUGCCUAUUGGAACUACUUCUUUUUGAUGUCUGCAUUUCUGGAAAGUAGCAGCAUUACCAACCGGAAUUUCUUAACUGGGUUUACAUAUCUUUUGGCCGGAUUCGCCUUUCUUUUUGUGUAUGCUCUUUACGUUAAAUGCAGAAGAUUGAGAGGUUCAAGCCAAGAGAUAGAUGAGCAGAGACAUGAAGAGCAUAGGUUGCCCCUGCUGGUCGAUAUUGGUUUCUCAUUUGUGGGUAACGGAGUAGUAAUCAUGGGAAGAACAAGGUUUAUUCCUAGUGAAAACCUGGAAUAUGUUUUCUUUGGAGGAGCUAUACUAUUUCUUGUAAGUGGAAUAUUCUUUUAUUGCUAUACAAAGUAUUCUUGUGAAUCAGAAAGUCAAUUUCAUCCUCAUAGAGAAUAGAAAUGAUAUCAUAAUUGAUACCAGAGUUGAUAAAGUUGACUUUCUGUCGAGUAGGAACAAUCGAAACUUGUAGCAUUAUCCAUAUCUGAAUGAAUAAGAGCGCUUUGGAAUCUAAA